CCCACCCACGGUGGGGAAUCCAAGGGCUCCCGCUUAAUCAUCUGGACCGCUCCUGGGGCCCGAGGCUCCCCCGGCAGCCUGGAAGACAGGACCGAAAAGAAGGUAAAACUGGAACCGAAGGCCGACGUCAUUCAAGUAGAAUAAAAAAUAGGAUCGGGAGGAAAGCUGCGGAUGAAAAGAGAGCCGCAUGGGUAACAAUUUUGCCGGUGCCUCGUUUCAGAGGUCAGUCCUCAGGGAAGCCCACCGCCAUUCCACUUUGAGCCCCAGAAGAUAUGGUCUCUUUAAGGCAAAUUGAAAGCCCGAACGUGUUAGGUACAUUGCUCAGGGAUGGAGGAGGAGAGGUGGACUGUGUCCGCCAAGCUUCCAGAGAAGAUCCUCGGGGCUCAUUUUCCCUCUGCCCUCGUCUGUUCGCCGUGGAGUUGGCUCUCUCCACACUGUACUCUCCCAAGCGCUCAGUACAGUGCUCUGCACACAUGAAGCACUCAAUAAAUGCAACUGAAUGACUGAAUUAACUCGAUGAUUCUAACAGGGAAACCCAGACCACGGCAAGGUAGGCUGGGGUUGAUGGGAUGAGCAUUUGAGGCACU